CCAGCGAACUUGGCAGAGAUGCCUUGGUGCCUUCGGGAACGCUGAGACAGGUGCUGCAUGGCUGUCGUCAGCUCGUGUUGUGAAAUGUUGGGUUAAGUCCCGCAACGAGCGCAACCCUUUAUCCUUUGUUGCCAGCGAUUCGGUCGGGAACUCAAAGGAGACUGCCGGUGAUAAACCGGAGGAAGGUGGGGAUGACGUCAAGUCAUCAUGGCUCUUACGAGUAGGGCUACACACGUGCUACAAUGGCGCAUACAAAGAGAAGCGACCUCGCGAGAGCAAGCGGACCUCAUAAAGUGCGUCGUAGUCCGGAUCGGAGUCUGCAACUCGACUCCGUGAAGUCGGAAUCGCUAGUAAUCGUGGAUCAGAAUGCCACGGUGAAUACGUUCCCGGGCCUUGUACACACCGCCCGUCACACCAUGGGAGUGGGUUGCAAAAGAAGUAGGUAGCUUAACCUUCGGGAGGGCGCUUACCACUUUGUGAUUCAUGACUGGGGUGAAGUCGUAACAAGGUAGGCGUAGCGAG
rnacentral:rRNA from 1 species